UCGGAAAGCCUCUAAUUUUGUCACAUAGAAACGUGUACUGAAGUUUAUUUAGUGAUCGGAGAUGUGCCGUUUACUGGUCUGUCUGCGGGUAAGCCUCUUUAAUACUCUCAUCAUGAUCUAGAUACUUACUACGUCACUUUACCUGCUAAGUAGAUUUAGAGGUAGACAGUCUCGUCUCAUAUUUAUAAUUAUCUUAAUUGAUGUUAAUUAGGACCAGUGUGAUUUCUGUGACAGUGUUUUCUUACUAACACGCGUGUUUGUGAUGAGAGGCUCGCUAGAUUUAUAUUAGGAAUGACGGACUCAGUUGAGGAAGUUUGUUUGAGUGGCAGAUCUCUUGAUUAUUAAAAGCAAAGGAAAUUAAUGUUGUAAACAAUUUCAAAGUAACAAUUAUAAUUUAAAGCUUCAAGCUAUACAUCAAGUAUUUUGAAUAGAAAAUGUGUUAAUAUAACAUUAAUGAUACACUGACCCAGAAAACCUAGCAAGUCUUGUAAUGUUAUUGUUAAUCAGCCAAAUAUGGUAAAAUUUACCAAGUAGACAAACAGUAUUCCAUAGUAUUGUUGAUUGGGUUUGAAUGUGUGUCAUCCUCUGUGUAUCGAGAAAAUGUUUGAAUGUGAUAUGACAGUUCGGGCUAUUCCAGUAUGUCUACCCAACAGGAGGACUCCAGGUUUGUUAUACUGAGACAGCACGGCUAUUCCAGUAUAAUGUCUACCCAACAGGAGGACUCCAGGUUUGUUAUACUGAGACAGCACGGCUAUUCCAGUAUAAUGUCUACCAACAGGAGGACUCCAGGUUUGUUAUACUGAGACAGCACGGCUAUUCCAGUAUAAUGUCUACCAACAGGAGGACUCCAGGUUUGUUAUACUGAGACAGCAUGGCUAUUCCAGUAUAAUGUCUACCCAACAGGACUCCAGGUUUGUUAUACUGAGACAGCACGGCUAUUCCAGUAUAAUGUCUACCCAACAGGAGGACUCCAGGUUUGUUAUACUGAGAUAGCACGGCUAUUCCAGUAUAAUGUCUACCCAACAGGAGGACUCCAGGUUUGUUAUACUGAGACAGCACGGCUAUUCCAGUAUAAUGUCUACCCAACAGGACUCCAGGUUUGUUAUACUGAGACAGCACGGCUAUUCCAGUAUAAUGUCUACCCAACAGGAGGACUCCAGGUUUGUUAUACUGAGACAGCACGGCUAUUCCAGUAUAAUGUCUACCAACAGGAGGACUCCAGGUUUGUUAUACUGAGACAGCACGGCUAUUCCAGUAUAAUGUCUACCCAACAGGACUCCAGGUUUGUUAUACUGAGACAGCACGGCUAUUUCAGUAUAAUGUCUACCCAACAGGACUCCAAGUUUGUUAUACUGAGACAGCACGGCUAUUCCAGUAUAAUGUCUACCCAACAGGAGGACUCCAGGUUUGUUAUACUGAGACAGCACGGCUAUUCCAGUAUAAUGUCUACCCAACAGGAGGACUACAGGUUUGUUAUACUGAGACCACAGAUAGAAGUGAUUGACAGUGCCAUAUAUUCAGCGGUGUUCCCCCUUUUACCCACCAUCCAUAGUAUUUCUCUAUUCCUGGAGUCUUUCUGUGGGAGGUGUAUUUCAUUAGAAAAGUCCUUACAUUUUUGGGGGGGUUUUUUCCAUUUAAUUUCCAAUUACCGGUAUUAUGUGUGUAUGUCAAUUACAACUACCUUAAGUUUGUUUUAAGAUUCAUCAUACAAAAUCAUCAGAUUCACAAUUCCUUAUGAUUAUGAUUAUUGAUUUUGAACUGAAAUUGCAUGAAAUUAAGUUUGCAGAAUAAUCAGCUAAAUAGUAAUUGAAAAUUAAUUAUGUAAAUCAGUAAUUUGUUGUAUCUUUUUUUUUUUUUUUUUUUUUUCCCUUUGUAGUUUCAUUAUAUAAAUCAAAUAUCACUUGUCUGAAUUUACAUGUUCAACCAGAUUGAACACAUUUAAUAUUGUUACAGACCUUCAUGAAUGGAUUCCUUUACCAAAACAUGUAAGGUUCAAGGUAGUUAGAUCAAAUGAUUAUGUAACCCACCAAUUGCCCCAAAAUCUUAUCAUUUACUCUGCUGAUAUUGUAAGCUCAUUUCAUCAUCCAGCAUCUCCUCUCACAAUUUAUAUGGCUGACAGCUGUAUGUGUUAAGUUUACAAAGUACAUUUUGAUAUAGUUGUAUCACAUAUGAGUGCCAUCAGUAACAUUACUUGUUAUAGAAUUCCAUUUGUAGCUAGGUUGUGUUUGUAAAUAUUGAGCAGUUCCAUUAGAAUCUCACAUGUACAGACUAGUGAAAUAAAAUCACUUUUUU